rnacentral:misc_RNA from 1 species
UUUCCUCCUUUGUGACCUUCGGGUUGCAAGGGGGACACGGUAGCGGCACCUGUGUCCCGAACAUGCCUCGACGCUAUGUUGUGGUUGUCACGGUCCUCGGGUGAUUGCUAGUGCUCUCGGAUUCGGAAUACUACGUGGGUGCGGGGGUCUCUGGCCCCCCGAACGCUCGAAAUAGUCCCUUGACACGGAUGACCGUCGUGGCUGCACAAAUUUGUAGCCGAAAGGCACGCGGGUUUGUGCAGUUCGCGACGUCCGAAAGGAAUGCUACCUGGUUGAUCCUGCCAGUAGUCAUAUGCU